UUGUUUUCAGAUAGCCAUGGCACGUCUAAGUACAAACUAAAUAGGAUGGUGAAACUAGGCAAAUUGGGCUCAUUACAACGGUUAUGAUGUACCCGGGAGUUCCGAUGGAUAUUUCCAGUAACACUAGAACUAAUACAUGUCCCUGCGUUUAUUAGUUUCGCACAGUCCGUCGCUGAGUCAUGGUAAACAGUUGAUCGACUCGACGUCCCGGAACAGUUUCCGCCCCAUCAGCUUCGAUGGUUGGGUAUUGGCCUACCAUUGCAACAACGGGUAACGAGGAAUUAGGGUUUGAUUUCGGAGAGGGAGCCUGAGAAACGGCUACCACAUCUACGGAUGGCAGCAGGCGCGCAAAUUACCCAAUGCAGACACUGUGAGGUAGUGACGAGAAAUAAUAAAGCGGGACUUCUGUUUCGCUAUUAUAAUGAGGAAUAACCAAAGGUCAUUCCGAUUAGCAACUGAUGGGAAAGUCUGGUGCCAGCAGCCGCGGUAAUACCAGCGUC
rnacentral:rRNA from 1 species